GUGGUAAAUACCAUCUAAAGCUAAAUACUGGCGAGAGACCGAUAGCGAACAAGUACCGUGAGGGAAAGAUGAAAAGAACUUUGAGAGUUAAACAGUACGUGA
rnacentral:ncRNA from 1 species